GAAAUAAAAACAAUCGGAAUGUAUAAUUCAGUCGGUAAAGGAACACGCCUACAUUAGUUUGCUUUUCGCUGUAGUUUAAUUUCGACAAAAAUGCGGAGUGUAGAUAGAGAAAACCUAUACCAGCAGCAGUAUCCACUGUAUGCAUACCUAACCCAAAUUUUCAAGACUUUCAUACAUGAAGCUGGAUAAACUUCACACUCUUAAAAUUACACAUUUCUGAGCUGUUGAGAAUGUACUUCAAAAGAAAUUGUUAUGAUAUCGGAGAUAACACUUAAUUCAUUGAAAAAGAAUAACCAUGUUCCAACUGCAGAACUUCUUUGGAAGUUCGUCACAUCCCAGCCACCUUCAUUUCAACCAUAAGG